rnacentral:rRNA from 2 species
GAUGAACGCUGGCGGCGUGCCUAACACAUGCAAGUCGAGCGAGGGUUUGCUCAGUAUUGAGUAUUCUAAAACUAGAAUGUUCAAUUCUGAGCAAAACCAAGCGGCGGACGGGUGAGUAACGCGUGGGUAACCUGCCCUAUACACAUGGAUAACAUACUGAAAAGUUUACUAAUACAUGAUAAUAUAUAUUUGCGGCAUCGCAGAUAUAUCAAAGUGUUAGCGGUAUAGGAUGGACCCGCGUCUGAUUAACUGGUUGGUGAGGUAACGGCUCACCAAGGUGACGAUCAGUAGCCGACCUGAGAGGGUGAUCGGCCACAUUGGAACUGAGACACGGUCCAAACUUCUACGGAAGGCAGCAGUAGGGAAUCUUGCACAAUGGGCGAAAGCCUGAUGCAGCAACGCCGCGUGAAGGAUGAAGGCCUUCGGGUUGUAAACUUCUGUUCUAAGGGAAGAAAGAAAUGACGGUACCUUAGGAGCAAGCCCCGGCUAACUACGUGCCAGCAGCCGCGGUAAUACGUAGGGGGCAAGCGUUAUCCGGAAUUAUUGGGCGUAAAGAGUGCGUAGGUGGUUACCUAAGCGCAAGGUUUAAAUUAGAGGCUCAACCUCUACAUGCCUUGCGAACUGGGCUACUUGAGUGCAGGAGGGGAAAGCGGAAUUCCUAGUGUAGCGGUGAAAUGCGUAGAUAUUAGGAGGAACACCGGCGGCGAAGGCGGCUUUCUGGACUGUAACUGACACUGAGGCACGAAAGCGUGGGUAGCAAACAGG